rnacentral:rRNA from 1 species
UGGGGAAUAUUGGACAAUGGGCGAAAGCCUGAUCCAGCCAUGCCGCGUGUGUGAAGAAGGUCUUCGGACUGUAAAGCACUUUAAGUUGGGAGGAAGGGCAGUAAGCGAAUACCUUGCUGUUUUGACGUUACCGACAGAAUAAGCACCGGCUAACUCUGUGCCAGCAGCCGCGGUAAUACAGAGGGUGCAAGCGUUAAUCGGAUUUACUGGGCGUAAAGCGUGCGUAGGCGGCUAAUUGAGUCGGAUGUGAAAUCCCCGAGCUUAACUUGGGAAUUGCAUUCGAUACUGGUUAGCUAGAGUGUGGGAGAGGAUGGUAGAAUUCCAGGUGUAGCGGUUAAAUGCGUAGAGAUCUGGAGGAAUACCGAUGGCGAAGGCAGCCAUCUGGCCUAACACUGACGCUGAGGUACGAAAGCAUGGGGAGCAAACAGG